CCUACGGGAGGCAGCAGUGGGGGAUAUUGCACAAUGGGGGGAACACUGAUGCAGCGACGCCGCGUGGGUGAAGAAGGGCCUCGGCGCGUAAAGCCCUGUCAGCAGGGAAGAAAAUGACGGUACCUGAAGAAGAAGCCACGGCUAACUACGUGCCAGCAGCCGCGGUAAUACGUAGGGGGCAAGCGUUAUCCGGAUUUACUGGGUGUAAAGGGGGCGCAGACGGCGAUGCAAGCCAGGAGUGAAAGCCCGGGGCUCAACCCCAGGACUGCUCUUGGUACUGCGUGGCUGGAGUGCAGGAGGGGCAGGCGGAAUUCCUGGUGUAGCGGUGAAAUGCGUAGAUAUCAGGAGGAACACCGGUGGCGAAGGCGGCCUGCUGGACUGCAACUGACGUUGAGGCCCGAAAGCGUGGGGAGCAAACAGGAUUAGAUACCCGAGUAGUC
rnacentral:rRNA from 1 species